GCCAGACUUGCCAUCGUGAUGUGCUUGUAACAUGGCAGCAGUCUGCUCCUGAAUCAGAGAAAUGAAGAUGGGAAGUAAAUGGCUGUAAAUUAAAUGAACAGGUGGGGCUCUGCAAAGCUGAAGAUGGCCACUUGGUUCUUCCCAGCGACCUGGGAAACCACCAUUUUUCAAUGUUUGCAUUCCAUCCCCCACGAUAGUACAUUUAAAGAAACUCUUUCGGCCCCUGGAGGCCUCAGACCUCCACUCACUGAACGCUUGGAGCAUCUGCAGCUGGAUUUCGUACAACCAACACUUAAUAUGGGUUGCCAACAUGUUCUUGUUCCUGGAUGUAUGUUCUCCAGAUGGGGUAGAGCCUUCCCCUGCCACCAGGCCAAUGCCCUCACAGUGGCAAAAAAACUGUCUGAAAAUGUCUUUCCCACGUAGGGUAUAUCUUCCAGUUUCUGGUGAUGGAGCACCCACUUCCCUGGGCAAACCAUACGAGCCUUAAUGAAAACCUUUAACCCAUCUUGCAAUUAUCACCAUCCUUAUCCUCCUCAAUCAUCAGGGAAAGUUGAGAAAACUAACGGGAAAACUGAUUCAAGCAGGACAAGUAUUAAUUCCAUGGGAUGGCGUAAACUGAGGGGAUGUGUAAUGAUUUUUUUUCCCCACAGAAUUAAAGAAAUCUUUUCUCGGGGCCUGCCCGGUGGUGUAGUGGUUAAGUUCACACGUUGUGCGUCUUGGCAGCGCAGGGUUUGCCCGUUCAAAUCCCGGGUGCGGACAUGGUACUGCUUGGCACGCCAUGCUGUCGUAGGCGUCCCACAUAGAAAGUAGAGGAAGAUGGGCACGGAUGUUAGCUCAGGGCCAGGCUUCCUCAGCAAAAGAGGAUUACUGGCAGUAGUUAGCUCAGGGCUAAUCUUCCUCAAAAAGAAAAGAAAAGAAAUCUUUGCUCUUUGGGAAGUUACAUUUGUGAAUAAAGAUAAACCGUUUAUGUUUUCUCUCUACAUGAUCUCUCCAAAAUUCAGAAACUCUCCCUUAUGUAAAUACUUUAAUCAGGCCAAACCUUUAAUACAAAGAAGUUAGUUUUAUUGUGAGUAUUUUUGGUAAAACAAAAAGUGGGAGUAAUUAUAAAGAGAAGAAUUAUGUUUGCACCUUUUUAGACAUUUGAGUCUAGUCCUGUUACUGGUCAUUGAGGUUUUGCUCUAUUCCUGUAGACUGGACUCUGGCCUAAGGUAUUGCCCUUGGUGUUCCCAGCUGUUCGCAGUGCUCCGUUUGGAAAACACAAAGUCACCCACAGGAGCUGGUCACCCGCAGAACAAUGCCUGUUGGUACAUGACCUUCUGCUGAUGCCCCAUUGUCUCAUAUGACAGCUACUGUAGGUCUCCAAUGUCUUAUACUCCAGCCUGUCACCAACAGGUUAAAGAAGCUCUCCCAGAUUCCAGUUGAAAGGAUCCUGUUGGUCACAGUCUAGAGCCUGGGGACUGGUCAUCUGGAAGGUUCCUCAAAGGAAGACGGCCCUCGAGCCCCAUUGGAAAGGCCCUCAUGAAGCUCUCCUGACCACUGACUCUGCCUAGAGCUAGAAGGCGCUGAGCCUUGGAGACGAUCUCACAGUGAAGAAGUCCCCACCUGGCAUCUGGUCCUGUGCACAUGCUGAGGCCUCCAAGUCACAUGGACGCGGAGGAGAAGCAGCCGACCUCUGAUGCUGACAGCCUUCCCAAGAUUCAGGACUCGGCAGUAUAUGUGUACACCCUGCUCUGACCUUAUAGCUGAUCCUCUUCCUAACAGACCUAUUCUAUCACAUUGGGAAAUCUAUUGAGUUGCAUGAUUAUUCAGCAUUUUUCCUAAGAAAGUGUCAUUCAGUUAGCUGGUGGUCUGGAAUAUCACUUAACUUCCUUUAUGAUGAUUAUUGGAACUUCGCUCUAUGUACUUGUAUGUAAACUUCCCAUGCUACCACUCACUCAGAUCUGCUGCAGACUUUCUACAAACACCAAGAUGAGAGUCACUCAACAUAUUGAAAUGAUAGAUCAGGGUUAUUUACUUAACUUUCUAGUAACUGGGUGAAAUUCCCAGGUGAGGAAACGAAGAGUCAUUUCCUGAGCGUCUCCUUGUUGCUCAAAUUGUGACUGAGCAAGGGCUCCCUGCCUACUGCGCACAGAAGCCAAUACUGCGGCACCAGCUUUUGAGAAAAGCAGCAGCUUGAUUGUGUCAUCAACUGGCAAGGAGAAAGGAGGCAGGGCUCAAAUCUGGGGCUUGGGGUAAAACGUAAGGGAUUAGGGAGGGCAGGCUGGCCGGAGGACAAAUUCUGAUUGGAAGGCCUUUAAGCAAGAGCAUUCAUGGUAAGUUCUGGAAAGGGGCCUUCACAGUGAUCUUCGUGGACAGUGGACCCAUCAACUUUGAAAAGGUUCCAACUUGGAAGUUCCGGUCAUGUCCUGGUCCUUGGUUCUUUUGGAAGGGGAGGGACUUGAGUGUUUCUAGGUCAAAAUCUUCCCCGUCUGCUCGUGCCUCCGCUCCAGGACUUGCAGUGUUGGCUCGCUGCCCUCGCAUGAUAACUUUGACAUUCUGUUGUCCAUAUGAUAGGGCCGCUUUGAACGAGUCCCCUGGUUACAAAGUGAUUCCUUGGGAUAACCAUCAGAAAAAAGGGGAAAAAGUUUCUCCCUCAUGCGGGUCAUGACUUGCUGGGAUAGGUCUAGCCCAGCAACACUGGACUAAAACCUAUGCUGGACCAGCAGUGCUUUCAAAAGGAAGUCUCCAUCGAAUGGGUCAAAUGUGAAAUAGGAAGGAAAACAGGGUCACUUCUGUGGAAGGGCUUUAAAAUGGAGCGUGAAGCUGUUAAGGAACGAGUCUCAUGCACGUCCUCUUCAGGCAGAACAUAAACUUUUGAACUGAGUCGAGGUAAAUGUUUUGAGAACUCGUCAAGAAAGCGGCAGCUCCUCCCAGGGAGGGCCUACUGCCUCCUUUGAGCUGCCUGAGCCAUCAAUUCAGAUUAGCCAAGAUCAGCUUUCUGCCAGCGACUCCAAUUAACCUUCUUUGUAAUGCAAACUUUCAUCUUCUGCCUUUAUUAUUUUGAUGAGGAAGAUUGGCCCUGAGCUAACAUCUGGGACAAUCUUCCUCUGUUUCAUGUGGGAUGCCGCCACAAGAUGGUUUGAUGAGAGGUGCGAGGUUGGCACCCAGGAUCUGAACCUGGGAACCCUGGACCCCAGAAUGGGAGCACGUGAGCUUAAUCACUGGGCCACCUAAUCAGGGCUGGCCCCUCCUCUCUGGUCUUUACGAGCCCCCGCCUCCUCCUCCCCGCAGGACACGGUUUGUGUGGCUCCCUCAAUCUGUGCGCCCGAAAGGCAGUUCUCUGACCCCAGAGUCACGGCCUCUCCGCGUCUCACUUGGACCCCGUGUAACAGGACCGAGAACCUGACCCGCCAUCGACUCCCCACAGUGAACGCGGCCCUGAGCGUCCUAACGCCUCGCGCUGGACCCGCGGGGGAGGAGCGAGCCUUCCCCGGAUGAGGGUGGGCCGGGCGGCGCCCACGGCGGGAGGCGCGGGCACCGCGAGCAUCGUGUCCGGGCUCGUUGGCAGAGCCGCAGGGACGCGGACGCGAGCAGCCCGCUGACGGCGCCCCCGCCACCCCGCGGAGCACCAACCGGACCGACGGCCGCCUUUAGGGUCACGGACUGAACCCCACCGCCCGCGACACACGACAGCCCCCCAGUUCACACGCGCGGCCACGAGGAAACACGCGGGCAGGCGCGCCUGCGCAGACGGCGCUGACCCCUCAGCCCCACGGCCGCAGGCCCCUCCCCCUCCUGCAGCCCCGGGUGGCCCCGCGCUCGUCGCGCCUGUCGCCGUCGGGAGCUGGGACCACGGCGCCCGCGCCGCUCCCUCGCCCGCUGCGCAGCGACAGCCCCGCCUUCUCCCGCGGCGCCGGGCGGAGCGGCGACCACGAGCCCGGACAGCGAGCCCCGCAGCUCGGUCCCACCGGGGCGGCCGCGACAGUCCUGCGCGCGGGCCCCCUCCUCACGGGGCGGAGGACCCGGACCGCGGGCUGCGGACCCGCAGCCCCAAAGGGGGCCGCGUCAGAGGUCACCGCCACACCCAGCCCACCCAGCCUCGCCCGCGGGGACGUCACUGUCAGGGGUCUUUGUUCUUAAACCAGGUCACACACCCACCGGGAGUCCCGCCCUGGGCCGAGCACCCAGGUGACCGCGCCCCCUGUCCCACCGGUCCGAGUCCUGAGGAGGGGCGCUCCAGGGAAACUGAGUCAGGACUGCCCGUUCCGGAGGAAGGCGAGGAGGGGCUGGGGAGCCUCGGGCAGAGGCAGGAGGUCCCCGCCAGGAGCCUGUGCUCCGACAGCGCCACUCGGGCGGGCGGUCCGCGUCCCUGAGGAGGCAGAUCACCGCCUCCUUCAGCCACGUGACCUCCGCCCCGCCCAUCACACGCCAGCGACGGGAACGCUGUCCAAUCAGGGACGACGACGCAGGGAGCGAGGCAGCGGUGCUGGGGCGGGACCGGGAUCGCUCAAUGAAGGCACAGAGGAGGGUCUUGGGGAACUGUCCAAUGAGGGCACGGUGACAUCAUAGGGCAGUGUCCAAUCAGACUGCAGGCCAGAAUGAGCGCGUGAAAUACGGUCCAAUCAUGUGGAAGGACGCUGGAGCACCGUCCAAUCAAAGCCGGGGAGGGGCGCGCUCGCAACCGCGUGGGAGUCCGUCUCAGCCCUUGGUGUCCCCGCGCGCACCUGCCUCGCGCGGCCCCAGGUGUCCCGUCCCGUCGCUGUCACCUGCCGGGGCCGCGGGGAGGACGCGCGGAGAGUCCGGAGCGGGCGGAGAUGGACUCGCUGGUCUUUGAGGACGUGGCUGUGAACUUCACCCCAGAGAAUUCAAGCGCUGCCACAUGGAUGAACCUUGACAACAUGCUGAGUGAAAGGGGCCAGGCACAAGGGGCCAGCGAGGGUAUGAUUCCAUUUAUGUAAAACACCCAGAACAGGCAAAUCCAUAGAGGCAGAGAGUAUUUUAGUGGUGGCCAGGAGGAAGGGUUAUCAUGGCUAUUAUGGCCUUUAAAUUUGUUUUUAGAAAUGGAGAUAUAAUUCAUAUGCCAUAACAUUCACCCCUGGAGUGUAAAACACACUGGCUCUUGUACACUCACAAAGCUGUGUCACCAUCACUAUAUAAUAUGAAUAUGGUAAUAUAGCCAUUUACAUUUCAAAAUUCUGAGUGACUCAAAAUCUGAUGUGACAGAAAUUUCUUUCAAGAAAAUGCACAUCUGCAAAUUCUAACAUCUCCCAGCAUAGCACAUAGCUAUGCUGAGACAAGCCCUACACACAGGCUGGGGCUGGAGUCCCACUCCCUCAGGUACAAACGUUCUGGGGCCAGAGGUUGCUGACCCCAAGUCCCAGAGGUGGGGAGGGAUGGCAGGGCCCCCCUAUGUCAAAGGUCACAUGUGAAAACAGAGCCAGGUCAUGCCUUGCGCGUGGUGACUUCACUUGAUGUCUUUGUUAGUAAACAUAGGGCACAGAUCACUAUGGCCCACUGUGGAAAUGAGUCUGACCUUCCCAGUCCAGAAAGAGGAUGCAGCAGGGGCCAUCGAGGUGCAGGCUGACCCCGUAUCUACCCACCUGGACCGGUUCUGCUAAGAGCCCAUGUCCCAGUGGGAAUAGUAAUUUCUAAGGUCAGCUCUGGUGAUGCAAAUAAUCAGUGACCAUUCCAUAAAUCAAAGUGGGGAUGAUUUUUCUGCUAUGAGCCAGUAUUGAGGACUGCAGCCUGGGAGGACGGCCUUCAUCUGGGAAUGGAGCACUUGGAAGCAGCAAGGUGUCCAGUGUGGUUAUGCACUAUUUUGGAACGGGGAACAUGAAUGAAAUGUGACAGGAAUAUCUCGUGACUCCUGUGCACAAGCUGUUUUGCUGGCACAGCAGGUCAGUGGUGACUCGAUGUACACAGCAGGUCAGUUUGACCCUUAGGUUCAGAGAAGAAAUGCUUAUCUUCAAAGAGAUGCUGAUCUGGGGGGAGGCAUAUAUCCCUAUCUUUAAAGGCAGCAUUCUUUGCUUUGGGUUAUUGUCAGUGUUUAAAGCAGAUGUCCAGCACAUGCUGGACAGGCCAGGUCAGGCCAGAUUA